UACAGAGGGGGCAAGCGUUGUUCGGAAUUACUGGGCGUAAAGGGCGCGUAGGCGGCCUUCUAAGUCGAACGUGAAAUCCCCGGGCUCAACCCGGGAACUGCGUCCGAUACUGGAAGGCUUGAAUCCGGGAGAGGGAUGUGGAAUUCCAGGUGUAGCGGUGAAAUGUGCAGAUAUCGGGAGGAACACCAGUGGCGAAGGCGGCACUCUGGGCCGGAACUGACGCUGAGGAGCGAAAGCGUGGGGAGCGAACAGG
rnacentral:rRNA from 1 species